rnacentral:rRNA from 1 species
GAUGAACGCUGGCGGCGUGCCUAAUACAUGCAAGUCGAGCGAACAGACGAGGAGCUUGCUCCUCUGAUGUUAGCGGCGGACGGGUGAGUAACACGUGGAUAACCUACCUAUAAGACUGGGAUAACUUCGGGAAACCGGAGCUAAUACCGGAUAAUAUAUUGAACCGCAUGGUUCAAUAGUGAAAGACGGUCUUGCUGUCACUUAUAGAUGGAUCCGCGCCGCAUUAGCUAGUUGGUAAGGUAACGGCUUACCAAGGCAACGAUGCGUAGCCGACCUGAGAGGGUGAUCGGCCACACUGGAACUGAGACACGGUCCAGACUCCUACGGGAGGCAGCAGUAGGGAAUCUUCCGCAAUGGGCGAAAGCCUGACGGAGCAACGCCGCGUGAGUGAUGAAGGUCUUCGGAUCGUAAAACUCUGUUAUUAGGGAAGAACAAAUGUGUAAGUAACUAUGCACGUCUUGACGGUACCUAAUCAGAAAGCCACGGAUAACUACGUG